GUUUAUGGCCAUACCACCCUGAACGCACCCGAUCUCAUCUGAUCUCGGAAACUAAGCAGCGUCAGGCCUGGUUAGUACUUGGAUGGGAGAAAUAUAAGUUUUAGAGC
rnacentral:rRNA from 1 species